ACGGAUGAAGGGGAUUACAAUAUAAAACUUAGGAACUUAAUUAGCUUCUUGAAUGAAGGAGAUAAGGUUAAAGUGACAUUGCGAUUCCGCGGACGUGAAAUGGCGCAUCAGGAGUUCGGUAUGCGUCUGCUGGAACGUGUAAAAGGUGAUCUGGAAGCAUUUGCAAUAGUGGAGCAAUUUCCUAAGAUGGAAGGGCGGCAGAUGGUAAUGGUGUUGUCUCCUAAAAAGAAAGAUACCAAAAUCGAUAAAGUAAAAGUAUCAAUGGAAGAUUCGUCCGAAGUAUCGUAGAGCAGUUGAGUGUAAAAAUAAGUGAUCUCCAGGUUGGUAA
rnacentral:misc_RNA from 1 species